rnacentral:lncRNA from 1 species
AUCGAUUCGUUCCUAGCAACUUUCUUAAAAACCGACAUAUUCCAAGUUGUCAACCUGAAAACCACCAAAUCGCAAUCCUAGCGUCAUCUUCAAACCGACCCGGAUUGUCGGUCAUUCUACUCCUCAAAAAAAAAGAGGAGGGAGUUGGUACACAUACUAUACUCGCAUACUCCCUUACUUCAAAAAACUUUUUGCCUCGGCAUAAAAAAAAAACCUUUGACAAAGUAAA